rnacentral:tRNA from 1 species
UGGGGUAUGGCCAAGCGGUAAGGCAUCGGAUUCUGACUCCGAUAUGCCCAGGUUCGAAUCCUGGUACCCCAG